CAGGAUCAAUUUCCUAUGCAAAUUUUCUGCUGUGGACCAUAGUUCAGAAUACCAUCUUCAGGAUGCCAUGAAGAAAUAGCAGGACUUUUGACUGUCUAAAAGGGCUACAGACACCUAUUGCCCCCCACCCAGAGCUCCCUGCUGAAGAGGAGAAGGAUUAACAGCAGCUGCAGGAGGAGGAAGACACAGCCAGCACAGUCAUCCUGACCCUGGAGCUGGUAUCCCAGGCCCUAAAUGUCUUGCAGGCAUCCUCUGAGGAUGGAGAGGGAUCAUCAGACUUGGCCUUUCGAUCCAGAAAUGAGUAAUCUGACUAGCAGUA